rnacentral:rRNA from 1 species
CAAAGGAAUUGACGGGGACCCGCACAAGCAGCGGAGCGUGUGGUUUUAAUUCGUUGCUACACGAAGAACCUUACCUGGGUUUGACAUAUAGGUUGUAGGGAACUGAAAGGGACCGACCCUUCGGGGAGCCUAUACAGGUGUUGCAUGGCUGUCGUCAGCUCGUGUCGUGAGAUGUUCGGUUAAGUCCGCUAACGAGCGCAACCCUCGUCGUAUGUUAUAUGUGUCAUACGAGACUGCCGGUAAAAGCCGGAGGAAGGUGAGGAUGAUGUCAAGUCAGCAUGACCUUUAUAUCCAGGGCUACACACACGCUACAAUGGUCUGUACAAUGGGUAGCCAAGCCGCGAGGCGGAGCCAAUCCUGAAGGCAGGCCUCAGUUCAGAUUGCAGUCUGCAACUCGACUGCAUGAAGCCGGAGUUGCUAGUAACCGCAGGUCAGCAAUACUGCGGUGAAUACGUUCCCGGGUCUU